rnacentral:rRNA from 1 species
AUGAGGAGCUUGCUCUUCAAAUCGAGUGGCGAACGGGUGAGUAACGCGUGAGGAACCUGCCUCAAAGAGGGGGACAACAGUUGGAAACGACUGCUAAUACCGCAUAAGCCCACGGCUCGGCAUCGAGCAGGGGGAAAAGGAGCAAUCCGCUUUGAGAUGGCCUCGCGUCCGAUUAGCUAGUUGGUGAGGUAACGGCCCACCAAGGCGACGAUCGGUAGCCGGACUGAGAGGUUGAACGGCCACAUUGGGACUGAGACACGGCCCAGACUCCUACGGGAGGCAGCAGUGGGGAAUAUUGCACAAUGGGGGAAACCCUGAUGCAGCGACGCCGCGUGGAGGAAGAAGGUCUUCGGAUUGUAAACUCCUGUUGUUGAGGAAGAUAAUGACGGUACUCAACAAGGAAGUGACGGCUAACUACGUGCCAGCAGCCGCGGUAAAACGUAGGUCGCAAGCGUUGUCCGGAAUUACUGGGUGUAAAGGGAGCGCAGGCGGGAGAACAAGUUGGAAGUGAAAUCCAUGGGCUCAACCCAUGAACUGCUUUCAAAACUGUUUUUCUUGAGUAGUGCAGAGGUAGGCGGAAUUCCCGGUGUAGCGGUGGAAUGCGUAGAUAUCGGGAGGAACACCAGUGGCGAAGGCGGCCU